CAGCCGCGGCGAUCUGACCGCCGCGCCGCUCCCGGCGCGCGAACGGCGCAAGGUAGCGCGCUCGUUCUCGCUCGUCGCGCCGUUCCGGCCCAAACACCAGCGGGAGAAGGAGAUCGUCUACGAGAACCAGACAGGCCAGGCGAACGGGCGGCCGCCGCGGCCGCCACAGCGGCAGCGGCGCGGCUCGCGGGACUCGCUGCUGGGGGAGCGCGAGGCCAAACAGCGCCGGCCCGUGGCGCGCUCGGUCAGCAUGCCUAAGGACGCCCGCGCGGCCGGCUUCUUCAGAAGCAAGGAGAAGACGGUGCGGUAACCGGAUCUACGAAACAAGGUCCCGGACGCGCCGCUCUCACCUUGCCGAGGUCACCGAUGUCGGACGAGGUCGCCACUCGGUUCGUCUGCCGCCAGGGGUCACCGGAGGUCACGCUGUGGCGUUCGCUGCCCGUCGAGCCUCGAGCCAGUGCUCCGACCAAUCAUAACCAAUAACAAUAAACGCACGUGCGAUUGUUAUCGGCAGAACGCCAAUCACGCGCGGCGUUGGCGCAGGAUCCUUCGGGGGCUCCCACAGCGGUGGACGGGGAAGGUUGGCGGCUGUGCCUCGGGGUGGUAAGAUGUCGCGCCCCAUCCAUCCUGACCGAGGGUACAUUAGGCGGGCGAUUAACCGCGCUGUCGCUACACAAUCUGUAGGAGUCGGACCGGCAUCUACCGACGAAUCACUGUACGUGACCCGAGAGCGUGUGCCGACCUCAACUUUCACUAACUGGCGACGUCUAAUUACCUGUGGUUACGUGCGACGACCCGUGUCUCGCGCGCCCGCCCAGAACUGCUCCUCUGUCGAACCUGCGUGCCACGAAAGUAAAAAGUCGUCGCAGACCUGUCCCGUCGGGGCUGGCGUCCGCGUGGGUAAAGUGAACGUAGGUACAGGGUGCUUCGUUCUACCGCGCGAACACUCAACGACGUGACAGGCGUGUUUCGCCACGGAAUGUCGCCGUGUGCUAAUACAGCGGCGUGCGAAUUCCGCGGGCCGCUCCAGCGACCGGCGAGGCUGCGGCGGGGGAAGUGCUGUCCCGCUCGCUGGGACAACCUGGUCGGUCGGCGAGGCUGCAGCAAGGGACGUACUGUCCCGCUCGCUGGCACAACCUGGUCGGUCGGCGAGGCUGCAGCAAGGGACGUGCUGUCCCGUUCGCUGGCACAGCCUGGUCGGCCGUCACAAAGGGAGCCCGCUCAUGUUUAGCAAGUGCUUACCGAGUGUGUAACCAGUGUGGCUGUUUUAAUACCGGUGUAAAAGACGUGGUCAGCGAUUAAUCAGUGACUGGCGUGAGGGUGAGUUUUGUGACGGAAGUGGAAACGUUUCGCGAAUAUGUCAUAUGUUCUCUGCUUGAGCUUGCUCUCGUGAUGCGCUCGUUUGCUCUCGAGCAGACGUCGUGAAAAAUACAUAGUACUAACGUCAAAUGA